rnacentral:rRNA from 1 species
UACGGGGGGGCAAGCGUUGUUCGGAAUUACUGGGCGUAAAGGGCUCGUAGGUGGCCAACUAAGUCAGACGUGAAAUCCCUUGGCUUAACCGGGGAACUGCGUCUGAUACUGGAUGGCUUGAGAUUGGGAGAGGGAUGCGGAAUUCCAGGUGUAGCGGUGAAAUGCGUAGAUAUCUGGAGGAACACCGGUGGCGAAGGCGGCAUCCUGGACCAACACUGACACUGAGGAGCGAAAGCCAGGGGAGCAAACGGG